CCAAUGGCUAAGCCUCCUGCUAAAGUUUGCUGGCUCUGGCGGUGAUGGAUCACCGUUUCAGUGGCAUUUAAAUCCCCGGCGCUCCUCUAUCUAGGUGACGCGCAGCAGCCCCCCCAGGCAGCCCAGGCGGCGGCAGCAGCUGCAGCGGCUGCAACGACAGAUUCCGAGCGCUGGGGCGAAGGGAGCAGAGGCUGCCUUCUGCGCGCUCCCGACUCCGCUCACCCCCCUCCCCCCAAGAGGUGGGAGCUGGGAGGCAUCCCCCGCCUCCGCCCCCUCCCCAUCACGCUCAGAAAGAUGAACUGGCAAGAGGUGAGAAGGGAAGAGGGCUCCUGGCUCCCCUGGGUGGGAAUCCGUGGGCUAGAGCUCGCUGGGUGGCCGCAAGUACCUCGGCCCAGUCCAGAGAGCGCGGAGCAGGAAGGGUGGGAAUCCAGUCGUAACCGCGCCCGAGUUCCAGGGUAAUUCCACCGUACAAUCUGGGCUGUGAGGCCGUGGGGCCGUAAAGAGCUCGAAGAACGCUGGAGGAGGGCGAGGCUAGGCCACUAGCUCUCCAAGCUCGGAAUGGAGAAGGUAGUGUGCCAAGAACUGACUGCGGGGAACCCGGGUGGGAAUGGAAGGUACGAGAGCAAGAAAAGAAACUUCCCUCCUCCAAGGAGGGUCUCCCCAGCCUUCUUUUCCAACCCCCGGUCAUCAUUAGCAUGGCCAUGAGGAGCCUAUGUAAUUCGAUCCCCAGGGACGACUGAGCCCUUGAAACCAAGCUUGCUGGAAAAGGCCGGGGUUGCUGGGCUCUUCUCUGCCCUCCCUCUUUCCUUGCUCUCCGCCCCUUUCUCCUCCCCACUCAGCUUUGCUAGGGGAGCCCUCUGAGAUCCGAAGCAACUCCACUGCUGGAGUUUGAGGGGGUAGGAGAAGGGGGAGGGGGAUGACGCUAUCAAACGUGGCCAGCGUGGGGGCCGGGCCUUGAGCUGCAGGCCAUCUGCUGGCUCUUAAGGACUUGGGAGCCUGCGUGCAAUCUUUAGCGCUUGGAAGGCCGGAACGCAAUUCCUACAAACAUUCCGAACUUUCCCUGUUUCUCUUUCUGGAGGGGGAUGUUAGGACUGCCUCCACUUUCCACCUCACCCCAUCUACUGCACGUCUGGAGUGGAGGUCGGGGCUGGCAGGUGGGAGAGGCGGUGGACAGAUGGCUGAGGGUGAAUGGGACAGUUCCCUCUUCCCCAACAUCUCCUCCCCUUUCCAACGGACUGUAUAGUUGCUUGAGUGAACUUUCAAGUCUUUCCAUAGAGAGAUACGUGCGUCACCCCAGGCCAGGGGUCCUGGUCUCCCUCACCCUAGUCCUAUAUUGAUGCUGCUGGAGUCUUUAAUUGCUGUUUACUAUUAGGUUUCAUGUCAACCUCGGGCUUGUGGAGAAAAAAUGCCAAGCAGAGACCGAGAACUGAUGCAUUCUUAAGCAGGAGAAGUCCAGAGAUCAUCUAAGAAGCUUUACAACCAAAGCUGCAUAGAUUUUACUUUGACAUGUUUGUGACAUUGGAUCGGAUAGAUGAAAUUAAUAGUGAGGAUUAUAGGUGGGUUUGGGGUUCCCAUGUCCUCCUUUUCUACAUUAAAAGAAAGGAAGUUUUUCUCUAGGCAGGCACAUUUCAAAUGUGUUAGUCAUCCUUACAUAUAUCUGUGUUCAGUUCUCAUAAAGAAGUUCUCCAAAAACCUGUCCCCACAAGAGGGAAAAUUUCUGUAGACCUUUUACUCUGAAUUCUCUCAGUAGCAAUGAAACAUUUUCCCAAACAUUUCCUUUUGGAACGGUAUUUUCCUAUGACCUUUGACCCACCCCAAGCAUGGAAAGAGGAAGAGCUCCAAAAGUUCCCCUACCCCAGUUUCAGCUCCUAGGGAUCCUCAUCCUGCAGAAGGGGAUAGACAAGGAGACCCUCUUGGAGAUAGCCUCCUUGGGAUCGCCAGGGUUGGGGAAACAAGGGGGUCUUGUUGGGCAGGGGACAGGAUGUAAGAGGGUCAGUGCUGGCAGUGAGGGAGAUCCAGGCCCUCUGCCCGCUUGCCUCCUUCCUAUACCUUCUUUGUGGGCUUCCUCCGCUCUGGUUUGCAAUAUCCUCCCGGCCGGUUGUAGUUCGCCUGCACAAAGCCGCCUUCAGCCUCAGCCGCUGUCUUUUCUCUCCCUCCACCUCUCUUUCUCCUGGCCUGUUUUCAGGGGAACCUGCAUGGGGUGUUUUCCUUUGGAUCACAAAUUCGCACUGCCACACAAGCCUGCAUACAUACAGGCCAACUGCCAUCCCACCUCUUCGCACUGCUCCAGCUCCCGCAGGCUGGCUCUGCCUCGGCUGGUCCCCCCGAGUGCCGCUCUCCUGGAGUGGCUCACAAAGGCAGCCUCCCGCGGCAUCCAGCCCGUAGGCUAGGCUUCGGUAGCUCCGAUCCUUCCCCAGCCGCCACACCACCUCUACCCCACCCCCAGGAAUCGUGGGAGCCAUUCUGCUGUAUAAGAGACCCUUGGUCCUCUGGGCAUGUAGGCCAGUGACCCAGGACUCAGCUAAAGUCUCUUUAAAUGCCUCAGGAGAGUGGGUGAAAGGCGAGCUUGGUUACGAUUAAAAUAAUCGCCUGCAAGUAUCUGCCUCUGCUCAAAACGCCUCUUUCGGGGCUCUUCUAGAAAGAGAAAGAGCGAGGAGGAGACAAAACGCCGCCGAGGCCCCGGAGCCGUUCAUGGCAUCCGCGGCUCAGCCAAGCUGUUGUUUUAAAAGAGCAAUAAAAAUGAAUUAUGACUGAAUGCCUUCUAACUUAAUGCUUUCGGACGGGGAUCCCCGGCAAAUACGUAAGAGGAUUUUUAUUUGUGCAUGUGUUCCUGCAAUUGAUCUCUUUGAUGACAUUCUCAUUCAUAGAAAGCGUUUGAUUUAUGAGCUUAGGACGAAUCGCAUCCAGGAGCGGCGCAGCCCUGGCCGCAGCCCGGACGCCCUGCUCGGCGCUAAGCCUGAGCCUAGGUCCGGAAGCCGGCCACAAACGCCACAGGCCGCCGCCGCCGCCGCCGCUGCUGAUGCUGCUGCUGCUGCUGCUGCUGCUGCUGGGAUUUAGCGGGUGAAGAGGUGACAGAAAGUAGGGAGCAAACCCAUGAGGAAAGAUCGCGAUUUUAUUCUAACUUCCAAGCCUUUGCUGUUAAGAGCAGGGUUCUUAAAUCAACCGGCCCAACACACAUGUUGCUGCGCUUUCUCACGGUAAGUAGCCCAUAGAAGAGCACAGAAAGGGAAAAAUAAACAUGGGGAGACAUAAAAACUGGAAAAAAACAGAACAGCCCCCAAACACACCCUAGGUCAUAUUUUAUUGAUAUUUCAUUUAAAGUGCUUUUUCUCUUUCUUUGCCUAACUGGGUUACUUUAUAACCUAGGGUGCAGAAGCACUUCAUUUUAAAUCUCAACUUGCUAACCUGACUUCAAAGCUUUAAUGAUCCAUUAUUAGCAAUGUAAACAGAUUUAAGAAUGAAAUAUUGAUUUUUCUGACCCUGGAUGUGGGGGGAGGGGGGAGUAUCCUAGAAUGACUGGACCAGACAAUUAGAAAGAGUCUUUCCCGAAGUGCAUUUUCCAGCUAGUAACCAUUAUUUUGUUUUAUUGUUUUUCUCUAUCUUUUAGGUCUGUUUUGCCUGAACCUAUCAACAGCUGGGAGAUUAAUCAACCACUCUGAAAAUGUACGGGGGAUUUGUGGGGGAGGGGUUGGAAUGUAGAUGUUUGGAACCAAUGUGUAUAAAUAAAUGAAUUGUUGAUAACUUAUUGACCUGGUAGCUUGUUAAAGAAACCCAGAGUUGCUCAUUCCUAGAGCUGGGGUUUCAGUAGGCACUUUAUUUCUCCACCUUCAAAAGCUUGAGCUUGCCCAACUCUUAGGCUGCCCAAUCCUGUUUCUACUACUAAUUUAAAUUUAUGGCUUGAGCCACUACACUGAAAGCCAAAUCCAUUCCCUUCCAAAAAAGAAAAAGAAAAAAGAAAAGAAAGGAAAAAAAAACCCUAAAAACAAAAAGUACUUGUCAGAAGCCCUAGCCAUUUUCUGGCUUUAUUUGUUGCGGUCUAUUGAAGACUUUGAACAUGCC
rnacentral:lncRNA from 1 species